GGUUGCGCUUUUCUUAGGGUCUGCCUCAGUCGCAAGACCGCGGCUUAGGAUUCUGGCUCCGACUGGCCGGCAUUGUGCAAGCUUGGGAGCAAAAAUGUCAAUUAAGCACCGGGAUCCAUACUCAAUUAAGGGACAGGGCUACCAACCUUGCGUGGAGCGACUGCUCUUUGGCAGAGGUGCUGCCGCAUCAUUUUGGAGAUAUCUGCAGCUCCUUCAGAAGUCGGGGUUGGCUUCUGGCGCUGUUGCAAUAUUUGAGUCUAUGGGGCGAUACUGUACGGAUUACGGAGAAUAUGGGCUUGCAUUCUCUCACUUUCUGGGAUUGAAGGACGAGAUGCGUAAGAGAUAGAUUUGGUGGAUAGCAAUCAGAGAUUAUGAUACAACUCUCAUCGUACAAGAUUGAGAUGAACAAAUUAUGUCAUUGGCAAACUUUGGUAAAGGGACCUCCCAAAAAGAUCAAAAUGAAAGCAAAUCAUCAAUUAUGUCAAGUGUCAGGGGGCAACGGAAAGCCCAUCAGUUCAUGCUAUGUUCUCAUAUGUUCUCAUUUGCUGUCUCCACCGCCCUGUUCCGUAUCAGCUCUAAGCUCGUAGCACAGGUCAUAACAUUGCGCAAGGAGUUCGUUGACGCUCCCUUGGCCUUCAGGUAAGUCGUUUCCAACAUAAAAUUUCCCAUCAACUCUCAUGUUAUCAAUGGAAUUGAGCUUCAUACUAUACGGGUAGAGUUCUCUGGCAUUAGAAACCCCGCCGGACUCCUUAACUUCAAUUAAACAUUUCCUCAAUGUCUGGAGUUGGUUAUAUAUAGGUAGAAGUGCUUCUGAGACUGGUUCAGACGAGAUAAGCAAACCAUAAAUUAAAGCAUAGCUCCGUCGAAUCAGAUACAGAAGUGUCCUUUGAGCGUGAAUGUCGGCUGGUUUCCCAUCGCCAUCCAAGAAAUUUCCAUCAACCCGGGAUUCGUCAAUCUUGUUAAGAUUUCUCUGAUACAUAAACAAAUCAGUUUCUCGUAGCGACCACGCCUGGGUCAUGACAAGUCUAUCGAGUUGGUUUCGAAUCUCUAGGAGUUUGCUAUAGGGCUCCUGAAACCGUUCAUCGAUUUUACCUUUCCUUUCGAGUACAAUUUCCGACCAUUUCAAACAUCUAUCCAACAAAGCUUUCACGAGUUCUUGACCUUCAGGGAUCGAGCCAUGAGGGCCUACAAAGUUACCGUCUUCCAUUGAACCCUGUAUGGCUUUGAGCUGCUCCUGGAAGCUCAUGACCUCAGAGGCAGAAAACUUUGAACGAGUGUUUGCAGCCGAUGUAGACCGCAAAAUGGAAACCAGUGUUUCAUGAGUCGGGGCGAGCUCAGGAGACAAGAACGAAAGUCCAUACUGAAGUUCAGCUAAUUGCUUUCGGCAUGUUUCUAACCGAAGUUCCAAAAGCUUCAAUAUAUCCGGUGAAUAUGUUUCUUUUCCUCUAUUAAUGUUCUCCUGCAUGGUAUCCAACGUCUUCGCGAUUGAGUCCAAGUCCUUCUGGCUAAAAAAUGCGGCUUCUUUUAGGUGGUCAAGGAGGCGCUUAAUUGUUGAAGCCAUCGCAUAUGCUGCGGGUGCUUCAUUGUUCCUUCCAACGGUAAGAAAUAGCAAUGAGAUCAGCUGGAAGCAAUCAUCCAGCACAUUGUCAACUCGAUUAUGCUCUAACGUAUGUUCCGUUCGGAGGGCGUUCAGCCUCUGGACUUGCUCGACGACCUGGUCAUGAUAAUGCAGCACAUCCUGGGACUUGAUAUACCUCGAUUUAUCUUGUUUGAGGAGCAGGAGGGCGUCUCGAAUUACGAGGAGCUGGUCAAGGAUAGGCUGUUCUCGCGGAUCUAGCGGGAUGGAUACGGCGGGGGAAUCGGCCAUAUUUCGAUAAAGUGGCGCCCUUUCAUGCGCCAGUAAAUUGGAGUCACGACUAGUCCAAGAACAACAAGGAAUGAAUUUCAGUCAAAUACAAGUAAACAUAGAUGUUAUGUAGUUAAGUGCCUUAGAUGUUGU
rnacentral:sRNA from 2 species